rnacentral:rRNA from 1 species
GAUGAACGCUAGCGGUGUGCCUAAUGCAUGCAAGUCGAACGGGAUCCUUGGAAACGAGGUGAGAGUGGCGAACGGGUGAGUAACACGUUGGUGACCUGCCCCAGAGAGGGGGAUAACUGUCGGAAACGAUGGCUAAUACCCCAGAUGUUAUUGUGUUUAGAAAGCAAUAACUAAAGUAGCGGACUUUGUCCGCCGCGCUCUGGGAGGGGCCUGCGUCCCAUCAGCUAGUUGGUAGGGUAAUGGCCUACCAAGGCAGAGACGGGUAGGGGGCGUGAGAGCGUGACCCCCCACACUGGUACUGACACACGGACCAGAUACCUACGGGUAGCAGCAGCAAGGAAUAUUGCGCAAUGGGCGAAAGCCUGACGCAGCAACGCCGCGUGGAGGAUGAAGGCCUUCGGGUCGUAAACUCCUUUUCUGGGGGAUGAGAAAGGACAGUACCCCAGGAAUAAGCCUCGGCUAACUACGUG